UACAGAGGGGGCAAGCGUUGUUCGGAAUUACUGGGCGUAAAGGGCGCGUAGGCGGCCUUCUAAGUCGAACGUGAAAUCCCCGGGCUCAACCCGGGAACUGCGUUGGAGACUGCAAGGCUGGAGUCUGGCAGAGGGGGGUAGAAUUCCACGUGUAGCAGUGAAAUGCGUAGAGAUGUGGAGGAACACCGAUGGCGAAGGCAGCCCCCUGGGUCAAGACUGACGCUCAUGCACGAAAGCGUGGGGAGCAAACAGG
rnacentral:rRNA from 1 species